UGGUAGCCCUAAAUAGCCCAGAAACACCAUUCUUUCAGGGCAAUUCUCCCGUUUGGUAGCAGCCCCUCCAAUCGGCCGACCCGGCAUACUCCAAGCGGGUUUCCAGGUUCUACAUACUACUAUCGGCAGAUCUGUGCUAGCACUAUCAGAGGAGGGAGUGGUGAACAUUAUUCCGUUUGAAUUUGCAAAGCUUCAGGGGCCGGCGAAGGCGUUUACCCAAUUUCGAAGUCGGCCGACAAUCCAAUCCGGUGACCACCUAUUUUCAAUUUCGGUAUCAAUGCCGCCAAUUUCAUUCGGGAUGGAGGACCCCCGAGAUAGGAAGAGAAAGGAGAUGGAGGCCGCGGUAGUCAUGAUCGAGGAAGAAGGGAAGAAGGCCAUGUUGUGAGAGAGAGGGAGUGACCAAAGGAGCUUGGAGUCUGGAGGAGGACAAGAUUCUUGUUGAGUUUAUCACAUAGAAUGGACAUGGCACUUGGAGAAAUCUCCCUCAGCUUGUAGGUUUUUUCUUCUUCUUUUUUUUUUAUACCAAUUUUGCCAUUUUAGUUUUUCUGAUGCAAUAGUUUACUGUAUGGUAGUAGCUGAGUUUGUGUUGAAGAGAUGGAAAAUAAUUAAGGCAUUUUGUGCUCUGUCUGUUUUCAUUUGUUAAGCAAAGGUCCAAGAAUUGAUUUUGUUUUGUGUGUGUGUGUGUGUGAUGUUCCUAGUUUGUGAUUGAGGGUUUUAGGAGUUGGAGAUGAAACUUGUUGUGUUCCAUGCUGAUUGUGUUCUUAGAGCAAGGAGGAUGAGGAACUUGUUUGCUGUUACCUCAAUGAUUGUGGGAUAUGCAGCAAGAGAUGAGAUGGGGGAGGCACGGAGCCUUUAUGAUUUGGCCGCUGAGAGGAAUUUUGUGAUGUGGAUUGCUGUUAUAUCUGGUUAUGUGAUGCUGCAGAGAUGUGAGGAUGUUUUAGCUUUGUUUCGUGAGUAUGCAACAGUGGAUCGACAACUCCAGAUGGGGUGAUCCUCGUCAGCAUGCUUGUUGCAUGUGCUGUGCAAGCUGAAGUUGAUCCUGGGAAACAAAUUCAUGGAUACAUGUUAAGGUUUGGGAUUAUGAUUUAUGAUGGAUAAGAAGGUGUGAUGAGGGGUAGUUUAGUCAAGCAAAUUUUGUUUCAGCCAUACUCUAAUUCAACCAAACCAAGGAAACUAGGCUAUAAUUUUUGGUUGGCCUGAACCAAACA